rnacentral:rRNA from 1 species
GUGGGGAAUAUUGGACAAUGGGGGGAACCCUGAUCCAGCCAUGCCGCGUGUGUGAAGAAGGCCUUUUGGUUGUAAAGCACUUUAAGCGAGGAGGAGGCUACUGAGAUUAAUACUCUUGGAUAGUGGACGUUACUCGCAGAAUAAGCACCGGCUAACUCUGUGCCAGCAGCCGCGGUAAUACAGAGGGUGCGAGCGUUAAUCGGAUUUACUGGGCGUAAAGCGUGCGUAGGCGGCUUUUUAAGUCGUAUGUGAAAUGCCCGAGCUUAACUUGGGAAUUGCAUUCGAUACUGGGAAGCUAGAGUAUGGGAGAGGAUGGUAGAAUUCCAGGUGUAGCGGUGAAAUGCGUAGAGAUCUGGAGGAAUACCGAUGGCGAAGGCAGCCAUCUGGCCUAAUACUGACGCUGAGGUACGAAAGCAUGGGGAGCAAACAGGAUUAGAUACCCUGGUAGUCC